AGUUACCUACGGGAGGCAGCAGUCGAGAAUCAUUCACAAUGGGGGAAACCCUGAUGGUGCGACGCCGCGUGGGGGAAUGAAGGUCUUCGGAUUGUAAACCCCUGCCAUGUGGGAGCAAAUUAAAAAGAUAGUACCACAAGAGGAAGAGACGGCUAACUCUGUGCCAGCAGCCGCGGUAAUACAGAGGUCUCAAGCGAUGUUCGGAAUCACUGGGCGUAAAGCGUGCGUAGGCUGUUUCGUAAGUCGUGUGUGAAAGGCGCGGGCCCAACACGCGGACGGCACAUGAUACUGCGGGACUAGAGUAA
rnacentral:rRNA from 1 species